rnacentral:rRNA from 1 species
CCUACGGGAGACAGCAGUGGGGGAUAUUACACAAUGGGGGAAACCCUGAUGCAGCGACGCCGCGUGGGUGAAGAAGUGUUUCGGUGUGUAAAGCUCUAUCAGCAGGGAAGAAAAUGACGGUACCUGAUGAAGAAGCCCCGGCUAACUACGUGCCAGCAGCCGCGGUAAUACGUAGGGGGCAAGCGUUAUCCGGAUUUACUGGGUGUAAAGGGAGCGUAGACGGCGGGACAAGUCUGGAGUGAAAUGCCGGGGCCUAACCCCGGAACUGCUUUUGAAACUGUGUGGCUGGAGUGCAGGAGGGGCAGGUGGAAUUCCUGGUGUAGCGGUGAAAUGCGUAGAUAUCAGGAGGAACACCGGUGGCGAAGGCGGCUUGCUGGACUGUAACUGACGUUGAGGCUCGAAAGCGUGGGGAGCAAACAGGAUUAGAUACCCUAGUAGUC